GUCACUUCCGUCGGCGGCCGCGGCGGCCGUGGCUCCUUGGCUCGGUGGGUGGCGGCCGUGGGGACGUUGCGGCGCCCCUCGCGGACAGCGGGUGGCAACUCUCGCGGGUGGCGGGCCGCACGAGCUUUGUCCCGCGGGCUGCGCGGGGCAAUGGGGCUGAAACCUUAGAAGGAGCUGAGUUCUAAUGACCCCGAGGGAGGCAACAAAGAAGGCGCAGAGCUGAGGGAGGAGAGCAGCGGGAGCGAGCGCCUGACGGCGAGGUGGCGAGCCCAGCGCCGGCCGGGCACGGUGCAGACAAAAGUGGGUCUCAGAGCUGAAGAGUUAGUUACCUGGGCGCCUGUGAAAAUACAAGUUCGGCGUCCCCCUCCCUCCCGCCCCGAGAUUCUGGUGCCGCGUGUUUGGAGUCGGCCCAGGGAUACGCAUUUUUGUUCCCCACGCGGGCACUUCUGAUGCACGUUUUGAGGAAGUACUGAAAUAUCACUGAAAUUAAAAAGGCAAGCUCUAACUCUACCACACUCCCUCCCGGGGAAACGUCUUCAUUUGACUGGAAGGACUGCUUCAAUAACCUGCUUAGGCUGGAGGCUGCAACACUUUCCUCUAAGGGAAAUCGGUUCAGAUACAGACAGGGCUUGAUAACACUGCGUGUCGGACGCUUAUCUGGCCAGAGCUAAAUUGCUUCGGACUGAGCUCUGCUUCCAUCAGUACAGCACCUUUCCUCACUGUAAUCCCUGGCUUUUUGUCUAAAUGAAGAACUAUGUAGAAAAUAACAAGUUAGAAAGGUCACCACUUUUAGAAUCGCCUGAGUAGAACUAAUGGUGUCUCUAAUCCCAAGGAAAUCUAUUUUAAAGAAUAUGCAGAUGACUUGCAUAUAGAUUAGAUACAUGAUACAUUCAGGAAUGCUAGCAGUCUCUUUUCCAUCUGUGUGAGUGAAGGAGUUGGGAAGACGCCCUCCCCCAAGCCUCAUCAACCAGAAUGAGACUUAGAAUAAAAAUAACGAAGUGGAAUCCUCUGUAGAGAGAGCAGCCCUUGAGGACUGAUGUCACUGAUUUGACCAGUGUCACUCAUGUUACCCGAGGUAGGAGAGAAUUCAAAGUCUUGACACAAUAAGGGAGGCCCGGGCUUCCCUCGUGGCGCAGUGUUUGAGAAUCUGCCUGCCAAUGCAGGGGACACGGGUUCGAGCCUUGGUCUGGGAAGAUCUCACAUGCCGCAGAGCAACUAGGACCCGUGAGCCACAACUACUGAGCCUGCACGUCUGGACCCUGUGCUCCGCAACAAGAGAGGCCGCGAUAGUGAGAGGCCCGCGCACCGCGAUGAAGAGUGGCCCCUGCUUGCCGCAACUGGAGAAAGCCCUCACACAGAAAUGAAGACCCAACACAGCCAAAAUUAAAAAAUAAUAAAAAAUAAAUAAAUAAAUAACCUGAGUUGCCAAAACUCAGGUUAAGAUAGUAAAAAAAAACAAAAAUGGAGGCCCGCUGAUUUCAAGGGCUGACCUUGAGAACUGAGCAUAUUUAAGCUUUUUCUUAAAUAUGUUUAGACUAUAUUAUCUCCCAAGGAAUGGAAUCUGAAGGAGGCUCAUACCCCAGUCCCCACCCCUCCCGCCCAACAGGACAGAGCACUCACAUCCCCUGUAAGGCCUGUGGCAGACCACUCAACUCAGACCGGGGUCACAGUUCAGGACCACCAGACCCAGCCUCAGGGGUUGUACAGCAAAAGCAGGAAGGAUUCUGAGAGGUAGACUUCGAGAUUUACUGAAUGAAGUGCUGAUGGUCUUUCCGGGCAGUAAUGUGGGCAAGAACAUGGAUGCUGAAGGGAGAGGCAUGCGGGUGGCAGAGAGAGAAGACUGGUGUGGUUCGACAAUUGAUUAUGUUGAAUAAUGAUGACCAGAUUUCCCACUGUUGGAGAAAAUACUAAUAUGGAAAAUGGGAAGGCUAGAAAGAACCCUGAGGUGUUGGAUUGGAAAUAUAAGUAUCAUUAGGAACUCAUUUUUAAAAAUGUAAACAAAUAUAGAAAUAUAUAUAGUUGACCCUUGAAAAAUGUGGGGAUUAGAGGCACUGACCCACUGCUCAGUUGAAAAGCUGAGUAUAACUUUAUAGUCAGCCCUCAUAUCUGUGGUUCCACAUCCUUGGAUUCAACCAACCUCAGAUGGUGUAGUACUGUAGUACGUAUUUAUUGAAAAAAUAUCUGAGUAUAAGUGGACCCAUGCAGUUCAAACCAGUGUUAUUCGAGGCUCAACUAUAUAUGUAUGUCUAUAAAUAUCAUAUAUAAUAUAUAUCAGAUAUUAAAUAUAUAUGCUAGGAAAUAUAUAAUGUUUAAUAUUAUGUGUAUGUUAUAUACAUUUCCUAGUUCUGUCCUCUGAGAUGAUAGACAUGCAGUGAUACCUCAGUAGCUAUGAGCACACUGAGUAUACAGAUUUUGGUUUCUAAUACCAUGCUCCACUAAAAGGAACCAAGACUGUAUGAUCCAUAAUAAUAGACCAAGAGUGAACUGUAAUGCAAACUAUGGACUUUGGGUGAUUAUGAUGUGUCUAUCAAUCAUAGCAAAUAUACCAUGGGGGAUGUUAAUAAUGGGGAGCCUAUGUAGGGGUAUAUGGAAAUCUCUGUACCUCCCUCUCACUUUUGCUGUGAACCUUAAACUGCUCUAAAAAAUAAUAAAGUUCGAAAGUUUCAAAAAAUAUUUAUAUGGGAAAAAAAGAGGAACCAAGACUGAAGAAAUGUCAGAUUUUAGGGCUGAAGCAGGAAAACUACAAGAUAAGCCUAGAACAUCUUGUGCAGAAAUUAAGGAAAGGCUCAAAAAGUGAUAGGGCCAUGCUAAAAGGAUAAAGAAACUGGCUCAAAGAGGCUCCCGUUGGCCAUGCUGAGGACAAUUUGAGCAUGAAAAUAAAUAUUACAGUAACAGAUUAUAACCUAUUAAGUAAAAUAGGAAUCCAUGAGCUCAUCAUGAUAUAAAUCAGUAGGGAGAGAAAAAAGCUCUUCCUUUGCAGUAUAAUGCCAACCAAUAAAUGUAAAAGGAAUGAUAUAAACAGAAAAUCACUUACCAACCUGUUAGUGCUUCAGACUGGAGUUGUCAAUGGAGGCUAAGAAUGGGUGAAGUUUCAACGAGGAACAGGAUUUUAGCAUAUUAUUGGAACAUUUUCCAACAGUUAAAAAGAAAAAUAGUAGUUUUACAGUGAAGACAUCAACAUGAGUAGAUGAUCAAGGUCUACAUCACCAGUGAUGGGACAGAUUGACAUAAUGAGAAAAUUGAAGUUUGUGAGGAAUGCAUGCCUGAGUCUGGGCAUGAGGCAGCAUCCAGUGGAAUCAAGUUGAGUGUCAGCCUACGGAAUAUAAGGGCUGUAUUCUCGUAAACUCUCAAGGACAUGAUAGACAGAAGACUGAGGAACUACUCCAUGUUGGAGGAGGCCAAAGAGACAUGACAACUAAAUGCAAUGUAUGAAGGAAUCCUAGACAUGAAAACUAAGAAAGACAUUUGCGGGACAGUUGGCAAAACUAAAAUUUGAAUAGGUUCUUUGAAUGGUAGCGUUGUAUCGGUGUUGAUUUUCUGACUUCUUGGGAGGUCCUUGUUUAGGGAAAUGCACAUUAGAGUAUUUAGGGGUGGUGUAGAAUCAGGUCUGAAGCUUGUAGUGAAAUGGUUUAGAAAAAGACUGUGUGUGUGUGUGUGUGUGUGUGUGUGAGAGAGAGAGAGAGAGAUGUUAAAAGUUGGUGAAUCUGGGUAAAGGCAAUAUCGGAGUUUUUUUGGACUGUACUUGCAACUCUUCUGUGAGUCUGAAAUUAUUCUGAAAUCAUUUUUUAACAUUAAAAUUGCUACGUGCUAAUGGAACUAUAAAGCAGUGGUUCUCAGAUCUGGGGAGUCUCAGUCAUUAGCAGCUUUGACUAUCUGACAAAAUCUGUGGGCUUUUUUCCCAGAAAAACUGCAUAAACACAAAAUUGCAUACAGUUUCCAGGAGUUCAUGGUUGCCUUCAAGUCCAGGCAGAAACCUCAGGUUAGAAGAGCUUCUCAUUUAAAGUAUUGAGAAAAAUGAUGAUGUUUACUUCCCUUUCCAAGAAUAUAGCAGGCUAGGUUAUUUAGACCAACAGUUGAAAAUACUUGAUAAAAUAUUGACAUAUUUUUAAAACCACUGAAGAGUUGACAAAAAUGGUAAAGCAACUAGCAGGCCGGAAUCUAAGGACGGGAUAUAAAUGGAACAAGGCAGUUGCUUUUGCUCUGCUGAUUACAGGCAAACUUUGAACCUGAAUUUUGACAGCUUCCAGGAGCAAGAAUAACAACUGUCAAAGCCCAGAGCCUGCCCACGGUGAAACAUCUGUUAAGAGACCUACCAGGAUUCUCCCCCAGGGCCUCCAGAACUGCGAUCUCAGGAGGAAUAGUGAACCAAAAGUAGACCCCUCUCUGAAACUUUUAGGAAAAUUUGGUUUUGCUGAGCCUUAUUAAAUUAUACCCACGAACCAACCCUGGCAUGGAUUGCACCUCAAACUCAUGACACGCCAGUAACCAAAUAAUCUCAAGCAAUAAAUUUAGUUCAAAAUGAUCCUGAACUACUGGGACCCCUAAGUACCUGGAAGAUACAAUAUAGUAAUCCCAUAUCUGGGAUAUAUAUAUAUAUGUAUACAAACAAUAACGUACAGAUAACAGAAACCAUCCUACAAAGACUUCAGAUAUGGGGUUACCAGACAAAGAUUGUAAAGAAAGUAUACUUACUAGGACCUUUUUUGAAAAAAAGUGAUGAAACAAUUUUAAAAUAUCAGUUUUAUGCCAGAAUUACAUCUUUGCUGCCAUUUAAACAUACAAUGAAAAAUUUUUAUCAACAAAUGAAGGUAAUAAUUUUUUAGGGUGUACACAAGCAAAAUCUUUAGAGAAUUCUGCAUUAGCAUGAAUGAGGCUACAUCUGUCCUUGUGCACUUGGAAGUCAAUGGCUGUGGAUCUUCAACAGCCGUGGCCCCCUUUCAUUUACUGAUGUUUCCCUUAGGCCAACACAGGUCUGGGCAUGUAGUAGUAAGUCAAUAAAUAUUGGCUGAAUAAACAAAGCAUAAUUUUCCAAUAGAUACUUUUUGUUGCUGAAAUAGCAACAUGUAUAUGAAUGCCUUUCUUAGCAAGAGACACAUUCAUAAGGUAGCUGAAAUAUCAAUUGAGCAACAGUGAUAUAUAAGGUUUGGUGUGUCUGUACUUCUGCAUCUGCACUUCUCAGUUAUAAUGAAUUCAGUUUCAAUGCUUCAGGCAGAUAGUCUCAACAAGGAGCUACAUUGAGUCAAAUCAAAUCAUCACAACAAGGUACCAAGUGUUUCUUAUCCCUAACAUAUUCAGAUACAAUAUUCAAAUAAAAAUUACUUGCAAUUUAAGCCAAAAUGUUACUGAGAUGAAGGCCUUCAAGACCAGUUGUUUUCUGCACAUUUUAUUAUGAACAUUUUCAAAUAUACAGAAAAGUUGAAGGAAUAAUACAAUGAACACCUAUAUGCCCUCAACCUAGAUUCAACAAUUAUUAAGAUUUAGCCAUAUGUAUUUUAACUAUAGUUUUUUUUCUGUGUCAUUUGGAAGUGUGUGUCUGAACAACUUUCCCCCUAAGCAUUUUAGCAUGUAUCUCCUACAGUUAGAAUAAUGUCCUUUAAACCCAUUGCCACACCAUAACAACAUCUAGAAUCUAAAGUUUCUAUAAUUGUCCCAAGAAUGUCUUUUAUAGUUUUGUUUUGAAUUUUUUUUUUGAACAGGCAUUCAAUUGACCUUCAUGCAUUGCCACUGGUUUAAGCCUACAUAGUCUCCCUUAAUCUAAAACAGUCCUUGUACCUUUCAUUUUUCGAUGACAAUCCCUGUUGGAAAAUCACAGGACAGUUGUUUUAUACAAUGUCCUUCAUUCUAGAUUUGUCUGAUUGAUUUGUCCUGGUGUCAUUUAACUGUUCCUUUAGCCCCUGUAUUUCCUAUAAACUGGAAGUUAGCCUAGAGGCUUGAUAUGACUAAAGUUAAACAUUUUUUAGCAAGAAUAUUUUAUAGAUGAUGUGUUUUUCAUAUGGUAGCAAAUCAGGAGGCCAAAAUGUCAGGUUGGACCAUGAUUACUGAUGCCGAGUUUGAUCACUUGGUUAAAGUGUUGGCUACUGAGUCUCACCAUUCAUUAAUCACACAUGAGUAGAGACUUUCCUGGUGGUCCAGUGGUUAAGGCUCCAUGCUUCCAAUGCAGGGGGCCUGGGUUCGAUCCCUGGUCAGGGAACUAAGAUCACACAUCCCUGUGGCAUGGCCAAAAGAAAAUAUUUUUUUAAGUAAAACAAAAGAAUCUGUGGAGUAAAACAUGAAAGCCACAGUCCUUCAUAUUCUUUCAUUUAUAUCUUUUUCACGAAGUAGGACAGCCAAAAUUUUAAAUUAUUCUUAAAUUUGAAAGUGCAUGCUAUCAUUAAAAACAUUCUUGUUGAUAUUUGUAAUGACAAGUGUAUCUUACAAAACCUUCUAAGCUCUUUAUUAAAAAUUUCUCCUGUAAUUUUUGCACUUCCCUGGCAGUCCAGUGGUUAAGACUCCACGCUUCCAAUGCAGCGGGUGCAGGUUUGAUCCCUGGUCGGGGAACUAAGAUCCCACAAGCCGUAUGGUAUGGCCAUUAAGGAUAAAAAAGUCUCCUGUAAUUUUUCCAAUGAAAUAAAACCUUGUUCUGUUUG